UGGUUAAGCAAUAAGAGCAUAGGGUGAAUGCCUAGGCACUGAGAGCCGAAGAAAGACGUGAUAAGCUGCGAAAAGCUGCGGGGAUUGGCAAAUACGAGUUGAUCCGCAGAUAUCUGAAUGGGGAAACCCACCGGAGUAAACCUCCGGUACCGUACAGCCAAUACAUAACUGUACGGAGGGAACCCGCUGAACUGAAA
rnacentral:rRNA from 1 species